GGCUGGUCUGAGUGCACUGUUGCUUAUAACUAAUUAAUCUCAACCAGUUACAGAUUUCUUUGUUCCUUCUCCAUUCCCAUUGCUUCAUUUGACUAGCUUUUA
ensembl:misc_RNA Y_RNA Y RNA